rnacentral:rRNA from 1 species
GACGAACGCUGGCGGCGUGCUUACCACAUGCAAGUCGAGCGGAGCGGCGAACGGGUGAGUAACGCGUGAGUAACUGACCCCCUCUCUGGGAUAACAGUUGGAAACGGCUACUAAUACCGGAUAGUGGGGGAUGAAUCGGGUCCUAUCAGCUUGUUGGUGGGGUAGUGGCCUACCAAGGCGACGACAGGUAGCCGGCCUGCGAGGGGGACAGGCCACAUUGGGCUGAGAUAGGGCACAAACUCCGACGGGAGGCAUGAGUGGGGAAUAUAGCACAAUGGGGCAAACGACGAUGCAGCAACGCCGCGGGCGGUAUGACGGUCUGCGGGUGGGAAACCGCUGUCAGACAUGAUGCGGUAGCGGCAGAAGAAGCAACGGCUAACUACGUGCCAGCAGCCGCGGUAAUUC